AACUGAAGAGUUUGAUCAUGGCUCAGAUUGAACGCUGGCGGCAGGCUUAACACAUGCAAGUCGAGCGGGGGAAGGUAGCUUGCUACCGGACCUAGCGGCGGACGGGUGAGUAAUGCUUAGGAAUCUGCCUAUUAGUGGGGGACAACAUCUCGAAAGGGAUGCUAAUACCGCAUACGUCCUACGGGAGAAAGCAGGGGAUCUUCGGACCUUGCGCUAAUAGAUGAGCCUAAGUCGGAUUAGCUAGUUGGUGGGGUAAAGGYCUACCAAGGCGACGAUCUGUAGCGGGUCUGAGAGGAUGAUCCGCCACACUGGGACUGAGACACGGCCCAGACUCCUACGGGAGGCAGCAGUGGGGAAUAUUGGACAAUGGGGGGAACCCUGAUCCAGCCAUGCCGCGUGUGUGAAGAAGGCCUUAUGGUUGUAAAGCACUUUAAGCGAGGAGGAGGCUACUCUAGUUAAUACCUAGAGAUAGUGGACGUUACUCGCAGAAUAAGCACCGGCUAACUCUGUGCCAGCAGCCGCGGUAAUACAGAGGGUGCGAGCGUUAAUCGGAUUUACUGGGCGUAAAGCGUGCGUAGGCGGCUUAUUAAGUCGGAUGUGAAAUCCCCGAGCUUAACUUGGGAAUUGCAUUCGAUACUGGUGAGCUAGAGUAUGGGAGAGGAUGGUAGAAUUCCAGGUGUAGCGGUGAAAUGCGUAGAGAUCUGGAGGAAUACCGAUGGCGAAGGCAGCCAUCUGGCCUAAUACUGACGCUGAGGUACGAAAGCAUGGGGAGCAAACAGGAUUAGAUACCCUGGUAGUCCAUGCCGUAAACGAUGUCUACUAGCCGUUGGGGCCUUUGAGGCUUUAGUGGCGCAGCUAACGCGAUAAGUAGAC
rnacentral:rRNA from 1 species